CUGGUCCACCCGGGUUUUCUCUCUCUCCAGGAACUAGGGAGCAGAAAGCUCCACAGCCGAAGCCACAGUGGCAACUUUUGCAUUAACUCCCUCCCCUCCCCCUUUCAAGACAAAAGCCAAAAUCCCAAACUUGUGAACACUCCAGGAGCAGAGACUGCCCUCAAGAGAUUCCCAGCAUGCCUUGAGACUGCACAGGGGGAGGUGCCAAGACUUGGGUAAAGUCAGAAGCCAGGCAUUCUGGGAAAUGAAGUCUUCUAUAAUGGGAGUGCCAAGAUUUGGAGGUCGUCAUGCCAAAGGUGUUGAGGGAAAUGGAGUCUUACUUCCUGGUCCCCUAGGUUUGGAGCUCUGGUGGAGGAGGGGCCACGCACCCAGAGUCCUCAGGCUCCCUGACUUCAGCCGGGUCCUUUUAGUUUCCUUUCCUUUCUGGUACUUUUAACUGUGUGUGUGUGUGUACACACAUUAUGUAUUCUGUCAUAUAGGAAGCGGCUAUUAAGAACCACGGAAGCAUUUCUGAGGAGAACGCAGACUGAGGGGUGAAAUUUGACAACAUCUGGUGAAGAUAUGGCAUGGAAAGGCUGCUUCUCCUACAAUCUGGAUGCUAGAUUAUGAUCUAAACAUUUAAGUCAAAGAGGACCUUUGACAUUUUAAACAAACAGAACAAGUCUUUGGAUACACCUCUGACAAAGUUCCAAUUUCCAGUCAGAAGUCCCAGAGAAUAUCUUCAGCAAGAGUCCCCAGAGUAAGCAUCUCCCUUCAGCCCAAGUCACCAAUCCAAAAGAGACUAAGAAGUGGCUGGGUCUUGACUUAUACUCAAUUUUCUCCAUCCAUUAACUCUCCCAUGUCACAUCUCAGGAACCAAUCAUAGUUCAUUAAUUUUUCUGGCAUUGCUCAGAGGGGACGGACGUGCCUGUGGGAUCAACUCUGAGGGUGUGAACUUCCUUGCAAUCAAUGCUAAAGGAUCUUCAAGUUUCUGACUGAUUACAUUAAAGAAAACAAAGUGAGUGUUAUUUCCCUUUUCACAGUCCCAUUUCAGUCCCUCAUCCUCCUGCAGAGUUUUAGAAGGCAGAAUGGGCUGGGGAUCCCAGAGCAGAUGAGACCAGUCAGAACAUCAAUGAUUCCUGAAGCCAAGCUUUAACUCCAAGGCAUAGGAUGGUUGACAAAUGAAAGUCCUGUAGCUGUGACCUAAUGGGAAGACUGAGAAUGGCACUCCAAGGUCUUGGAGAUAUGAUGGGAGCCUGGGCAAAUAGUAAGGAUGUGAGCUAUGUGUUAAAGGAUGAAAGGUUUGCAAAAACUGUUGCAAAAACUGAGAGAUGCAAACCUCAGAGGAUAAUUGACAGGAUAAUGUGACUAAGGGUCACAUGGGAGCCUGAGGCUUGAGAUCUGGGAAAAUUCUAUGCCCAACGGUGCUUCAUCUCAUAGUCUUCUCUCCUGGAAGGACCCAAGGCUUGAAGAAGAUAUUUUCUCCUGAAACCAGCAGAAGAAAGAGGUUUUUGGAUCUGGCUGCUGGCAGCAUCAGUAAGAAGAUCUCUGGAUCUGCUUGGAUAUCAAACAACUGACGAUCGUGGCCCAUUUGAUUGGACUCCUGGUGUGAAACUUGGAUAUUGGAAAGUUAAUGCUUAGCUUAAUUAGAUAGUUUUAGUUAGUUUAUAGAUAUUAGCUUUUAAGUUAAAUAUAAGUAUUGUUUACACCUAACACCCCUGUUCCUUCCUACCCUUCCACCAAUAAAUCUAAAUUUAUUUAUUUGUUCCCUUUUCUUCUUUCCUCACCCCAAAUCCCAUCAUAACAGUUUGCAGUGCUAAAUGGUCCUUGAAAAACUUAGAAAUGCUUUAAAAUCUUUUUUAUUGGUGCUUUUAGAUCUUGUGCUUUUUAGUAGCAGAGAAUGCAAAUUAGAAUGUAGAAAAGUAGAUGUCUUCCUAUUCUUUAUCUGUGCACUUCCUCCAGAUUGAAAAGGGUUUGCUUGACAUUCGAAGCCUGAAGAGUGGGGGAAGCAUCUGAGGUAACCUGAAGGCUAACAGAUGAUCUUAUGGCUUCAUUCCCUUCUAUAAGAGAUUGCAAGGCUGAGAAAUGAUGCCCCCAGCACCCAAAAACCACCUUGAAAGUCUGGCAAAAAGGAAGGGGGUUGUGAGAAUAACAUCACAUAGGUGCAUGAGGGAUCUUUGUACCCCUAACUGACCCAUCCCCUGAUUCUGGGCCUGAAACAGCCCUGUCACACUCAGGGAAGGAAUAUUCUGAGAAAGGCUGAGUUUCCAUGAAUGGGAAGAAGCAAUCCCCCCAACUCUUAGUAAAAUCUAGAAUCCUGAAAUCCUAUGAGGGACAAUUCCAUUGUCCCCCUACCCCAGGGCUAUUCCAUUGCCUGCAAUGGGGUUUUCCAUUCUCCUGGCUAAACUAUCUGUAAACAUUUUCGAAUAAACACUUUCAUGCCUUAGGAAGACAAAGUCUGAGCUACAGUUCUCUGGGCGAGAACCAGCGUUUGCUCUCACACAACAAAAUUCACUCUCCUACACCAGUACCAGGGGCAGAAAGCAGCCCUUGUGCAAGGCCUAGGAGAAGAACUUCUGCUGACAUUUCUGAAGGACAUCCAAGGAGUUCACAUAGGAAAGAUGAGGCCCAGUGGAAAGGGGCAACCAACAUAAGAAGGGGCAACAAAAGGUAUGAGGCAGAGAGAUCUGAGACCCAAAGGAAGCAGAGAAAUCUGGGCUCCAUGGGAAGAAGGCAGAGAGAUCUACGUUCCAAGGAAAGAUGACAGCUUCCUGUUUAGAAGCAGUCUACUCUGUGGAUCCUCCCAGUUCCUAUGGCCCCACCAGCCUGCCUCUGAAGUCCCAAGGUUAAGGCCUUCCUCCAAUGGCACUCAAGGGCAGGAUCUCAGGACCCUGCCAGUCUCUCCACCCUAAGCCCUGUCCUCUAUUAUCUGUAAUACCACUGCCACCAGAAUGGCCCCUCUGCAGCCUAGAUUCCUCCCAGGCUUCUAAACCACCCCAGGGCUUGUUAUUCUGCCUGGGCAGCAACCUUUAAGACUGGUCACCCUGAGAAGUCUCCCCUUACCCUCCCUCACUCUCCUUUUAUUCUCUUCCAUAUUCUCAGGAUCUAGUGACACUGCUUUUCUUACUUUCCUCACACAAGUCUCUCCCUGAGACUCUGUAGAACUCUAGAAUUUUUGCCAAGAAAUCCCCAAAUGGGGUCACAAAGGGGCAGACACACCUACAAUGACUGAACAACAACAAUCCCACAACAACAACAAACAGAACAGGGGAUCUCUAAAAGUGGGAGACCUAAGUGUCCAUCACCCACCUAGCAUGUAGGUCACACUCCUGAGUGGACACAAACACAGCCCAAGGCCUGUCAGGCUGCCUCUUAGGCUGCCUCAGUCUGGCUGUUCCCAGUAAACGUCAACCUUAGAAUCAAAUAACCAGCAAUUCCAUGCUGUAGGGGAACCCUGGACAGGAACCUGACAAAUCUCCCCACAGGUCUAAAUACCAUCAUACUGAGAGGGCUGGUGGCUGAGAGCAAACACCACACAGUUAGCCUUGAAACCCUUUUUCCAGGGCACUUAUAUCUUCCUCCUUUCCACCUCCUCUCUGACCAGGGAAACUGGCCUCCUGGCUUAUCCCUGGCCAAGACACCUAGCUCUUCAAAAUGUGUCCCUUUCCAAGCUUUCCCUGGUAUUUGAACAAGCUAGAGUCUUCUUAGAGGACUCCUAUCUAUACUGCUUAGGGCUUCUCUGGACACACAUGUUCACAUGGUUUCUCCCUGUUAAAUUUAAAUUGUGGUUA